GAGGGAAAAGGAGCAAUCCGCUUUGAGAUGGCCUCGCGUCCGAUUAGCUAGUUGGUGAGGUAACGGCCCACCAAGGCGACGAUCGGUAGCCGGACUGAGAGGUUGAACGGCCACAUUGGGACUGAGACACGGCCCAGACUCCUACGGGAGGCAGCAGUGGGGAAUAUUGCACAAUGGGGGAAACCCUGAUGCAGCGACGCCGCGUGGAGGAAGAAGGUCUUCGGAUUGUAAACUCCUGUUGUUGAGGAAGAUAAUGACGGUACUCAACAAGGAAGUGACGGCUAACUACGUGCCAGCAGCCGCGGUAAAACGUAGGUCACAAGCGUUGUCCGGAAUUACUGGGUGUAAAGGGAGCGCAGGCGGGAAGACAAGUUGGAAGUGAAAUCUAUGGGCUCAACCCAUAAACUGCUUUCAAAACUGUUUUUCUUGAGUAGUGCAGAGGUAGGCGGAAUUCCCGGUGUAGCGGUGGAAUGCGUAGAUAUCGGGAGGAACACCAGUGGCGAAGGCGGCCUACUGGGCACCAACUGACGCUGAGGCUCGAAAGUGUGGGUAGCAAACAGGAUUAGAUACCCUGGUAGUCCACACCGUAAACGAUGAUUACUAGGUGUUGGAGGAUUGACCCCUUCAGUGCCGCAGUUAACACAAUAAGUAAUCCACCUGGGGAGUACGACCGCAAGGUUGAAACUCAAAGGAAUUGACGGGGGCCCGCACAAGCAGUGGAGUAUGUGGUUUAAUUCGACGCAACGCGAAGAACCUUACCAAGUCUUGACAUCCCUUGACGAACAUAGAAAUAUGUUUUCUCUUCGGAGCAAGGAGACAGGUGGUGCAUGGUUGUCGUCAGCUCGUGUCGUGAGAUGUUGGGUUAAGUCCCGCAACGAGCGCAACCCUUACUGUCAGUUACUACGCAAGAGGACUCUGGCAGGACUGCCGUUGACAAAACGGAGGAAGGUGGGGAUGACGUCAAAUCAUCAUGCCCUUUAUGACUUGGGCUACACACGUACUACAAUGGCGUUAAACAAAGAGAAGCAAGACCGCGAGGUGGAGCAAAACUCAGAAACAACGUCCCAGUUCGGACUGCAGGCUGCAACUCGCCUGCACGAAGUCGGAAUUGCUAGUAAUCGUGGAUCAGCAUGCCACGGUGAAUACGUUCCCGGGCCUUGUACACACCGCCCGUCACACCAUGAGAGCCGGGGGGACCCGAAGUCGGUAGUCUAACCGCAAGGAGGACGCCGCCGAAGGUAAAACUGGUGAUUGGGGUGAAGUCGUAACAAGGUAGCCGUAGGAGAACCUGCGGCUGGAUCACCUCCUUUCUAAGGA
rnacentral:rRNA from 1 species